UACAGAGGUCUCAAGCGUUGUCCGGAAUCAUUGGGCGUAAAGAGCGUGUAGGCGGCUCGGUAAGUCCGCUCUGAAAGCCCGGGGCUCAACCCCGGGAGGCGGGCGGAUACUGUCGGGCUAGAGUCCGGAAGAGGCGAGUGGAAUUCCUGGUGUAGCGGUGAAAUGCGCAGAUAUCAGGAGGAACACCAAUAGCGAAGGCAGCUCGCUGGGACGGUACUGACGCUGAGACGCGAAAGCGUGGGGAGCAAACAGG
rnacentral:rRNA from 1 species